UACAGAGGGUGCGAGCGUUGUCCGGAAUUACUGGGCGUAAAGCGUGCGCAGGCGGUUUUGUAAGUCUGACGUGAAAUCCCCGGGCUUAACCUGGGAAUUGCGUUGGAGACUGCAAGGCUAGAGUCUGGCAGAGGGGGGUAGAAUUCCACGUGUAGCAGUGAAAUGCGUAGAGAUGUGGAGGAACACCGAUGGCGAAGGCAGCCCCCUGGGUCAAGACUGACGCUCAUGCACGAAAGCGUGGGGAGCAAACAGG
rnacentral:rRNA from 1 species